rnacentral:lncRNA from 1 species
CAGUGGGGGUGGGGUGGGGAUGUAGCAGCAGCAGCAGCAGGCAGUGGGGGCAUGUGUAACACGUGCAUAAAUUCCCAGCAGAUCCUACUUUCUUCUACUUCUUUUCUUCUUCUACAUGUUGGUGUUGUUGUUGUUUUCAUUCAUAUAUAUACAUACAUACAUACAUAUAUAUAUUCUCAUUUCAGUUGUUAUGUAAACUGGCUAUGUUGUCUUCAGAGAGAGGGCCUUGUUCAGUCUAUUUCUUCCAUGUUUAUAUUAUGACCUUGUUUAGGUUGGCAUCCCACACACCCCCCCCCCCUUUCCAUUCUCAGGUCACAUGGGUCAACAGAGCACGAGGAGUAUACAAGAAAGAGUAGUUGUGCUAUUAUAAGGUUUUGAUGGAAUAAAAUAUGGAAUUGGUUUUUUCCAGAAGCUUUUGACUUGAAUUGUGGGGUUUUGAAAGAUGGAAACCUGCGUGAGAAACUUUUCAUUAAAUUGUUUGACAGUUGCAUGCUUUUUGAAUUUUGGGGAUGGUUAGUGUGAUGAUUGAUUGCAGAUGUGGAUUUUUUUAUUCAUUUUAUUAAUUUCUUCAUACUCCAUAAUAAUAAUAAUAUUAAUAAUAAAUAUUAUUUUCAAUUACCACGAAUAUUAUUAUUAUAUAUCCACACAGAACAAGUACUCUUUUAAAAUGCAGAUACAGGAAAGAAUAACAGAUUUCAUCCAUUUUCAAAAUUUUAAAUACUUGCAGAAAAAAAAUAUUAUUAGUGAACAUCCAUUGUGCAGUGCAUGAGUGUGUGCAUGUUCCAACUUUGAUUUGAGCAGUGGUUUCAUGUGAUAUUUUGAUAUGUUACAUAUAAAAAAAAUAAUGAAAUAACAAACAGGAUCACGAAAAAGCCAACAUUCAUCACACAAAAUAGAGCAUUCAAACAAAACAUUACACAAUAAAUAAAGUGCCUGAUUCCUCAAACAUGAACAUAAUUUUGCAACUACCUUGUUAUAUAUAUAUAUAUAUAUAUAUAUAUAUAUAUGUAUAUAUAUAUACACAUAUUUACAUACUCAAAAAAUAUAGGUGUGGAGGCAAUAAGGGUGAUUACCAAGAACAAUAUGCAUGAUUUGUUUCAUGAGAGUCCCAAAGUUGAGGAUAAGCACAAUAAUAAGCACCUGCUUGUGUGACUCUUAAGUACACUCUUUUGUUCAACACCACAUACUGGAAAAGUAGAUUCUUUGAAAAUAUCUGAUGUUUAUCCCAACUGCUUUGUUUUAAAAUCCUUUCUCAAGCAUCUAACACCUUUUCUAAUGUGAAU